UAACACUGUAUAUGUUGCUCCUAUUACAUUUACAGACUAAUUAACAGAGAGAAAGAAGCUCCCGUAACCACCAAAAAAUUCAAGCCUCUCUCUUCGUUUCCUAGCUUUAUUUCAACUAGUGGACCUGCUAGGGUAGAUGCCCCAGGUCCCCGUCAUUCCUGACUCUUGUAAGUUUGUCCUGCAGCCUA